AUUGAACGCUGGCGGCAGGCCUAACACAUGCAAGUCGAGCGGAUGAGGAAAGCUUGCUUUUCGAUUCAGCGGCGGACGGGUGAGUAAUGCCUAGGAAUCUGCCUGUUAGUGGGGGAUAACUCGGGGAAACUCGGGCUAAUACCGCAUACGUCCUACGGGAGAAGGUGGGGGAUCGUCGGACCUCACGCUAACAGAUGAGCCUAGGUCGGAUUAGCUAGUAGGUGAGGUAAUGGCUCACCUAGGCGACGCUCCGUAACUGGUCUGAGAGGAUGAUCAGUCACACUGGAACUGAGACACGGUCCAGACUCCUACGGGAGGCAGCAGUGGGGAAUAUUGGACAAUGGGCGAAAGCCUGAUCCAGUCAUGCCGCGUGUGUGAAGAAGGUCUUCGGAUUGUAAAGCACUUUAAGUUGGGAGGAAGGGUAUUCACCUAAUACGUGGGUACUUUGACGUUACCAACAGAAUAAGCACCGGCUAACUCUGUGCCAGCCGCCGCGGUAAAAC
rnacentral:rRNA from 1 species